rnacentral:rRNA from 1 species
CCUACGGGUGGCAGCAGUAGGGAAUAUUGCUCAAUGGGGGAAACCCUGAUGCAGCACCGCCGCGUGGAGGAUGAAGGUUUUCGGAUUGUAAAGUCCUUUUGUUAGAGAAGAUAAUGACGGUAUCUUGCGAAUAAGCACCGGCUAACUCCGUGCCCGCAGCCGCGGUCAUACGGAGGGUGCCAGCGUUACUCGGAAUCACUGGGCGUAAAGAGCGCGUAGACGGGAUAGCAAGUCAGAUGUGAAAGCCUAGGGCUUAACCCGAGAACUGCAUUUGAAACUGUUAUUCUAGAGUAUGGGAGAGGUAGGUGGAAGUCUUGGUGUAGGGGUAAAAUCCGUAGAGAUCAAGAGGAAUACUCAUUGCGAAGGCGACCUGCUAGAACAUAACUGACGCUGAUGCGCGAAAGCGUGGGGAGCAAACAGGAUUAGAUACCCGGGUAGUC